GGAGUGCAAGUCUGGAGCAAGCUCCACUGGAGCAUCUGCCAGGGGCCCGACCUUGCCCCUCUCCUAGCCCUGCCCAGCACAGCCGCCCGCCCCCUCAGACCACACCCGGGUAUUCUCCAGCCCCACCCCACUCCCACUUGGGCACCCAAAGUGUAGAAGGGGGUGUAGGUGCUAAGCUCUGACAUUACUGUGUCACCUUGCGCAGGUCACUUAGCUAACCUUCAAUCCUUGAAGGUCUCAAAACUUAUUAUUAGUUGUAUUAUUGUCUCCACCACAGACUCCCAAACAUAAGGCUUUCUGCUCUAAGAUGCACAGCAGAGAGAAGGGCCUCUCCCAGGGUGUAAAGAGGCCCAGAGGGGGCAUAGCACACCCCAGGUCAGAUGGCCUCAUGUCCCCCACUAUUCUCAAAGAAAAGCCCUGGUCCCUACACUCUCAGACCUAUUUGCCACCAGAAGGCCAAAACACCUGUUUCUGAGGCUUGUGCGAAAGGAGUUCUGCCAGGCCCCAGUGGGGGCUAUGCAGAGAGAAGGGACUCCCCUGUUUUUCCCAGGCACCUACUGUGUGAUGUGGGCGGACCUGGCCCCAGAGUUUGCAUUUUCACCCUGUGGAGACAAUGCACUUACUCCCCUGGUUCAGAGAUGGGGAAACAAGGUGACCCACCUGGAUCUAUCUGAAGGUAGGCCUGAGGCCCUCUCUGCUGAGUGGGCUCCAGCACCAUUCCUAGGCCAUUUGGGCAGCUCCUUGGGCCAACCCCUCUGCCACUCCUGGUCCAGACCGCCCAGGCAGGAGCUCCCAGCCUGCCUGGUCUGACCCCCAGCCCACUGACCCCAGCCCUGGCCCUGGCGGGCAGGCGGGCAUUGCUCAACCUUCAGCGUUAUCUGCUGAGCUGGAGUGACCUCCGCCCCAGAGAGCUGGAGAAAUGACAUCUCUGAGUGCCCUUGGGGGGUGGGGGGCAGGGAGGGACAGGAUGAAACACUGGCCUAGCCUGCUGGGCCUUCCCAGCAGCCUCUGGGCCAGGGAGGGAUCCAAGGCCCCAGGGCCACCCAGCCAAGCCUCCCAAGCUGCAAAAUGGGACACUCAGGGCUGAGCUUGAGGGCCACUGCCUCCGAGAGGCCUCCCUGCCCCAUCUACUGGUGAACUUCCUUCUCAGCCUUUUUCUCCAGCCACCAUUCUCCUAGUUGUCUUGUCUAUACCUCAGCCCCCCUCCAGACUCCAGUGCUACUGCAUGAGCACUGACCCUCCUCCAGCAUAGGUCGGGCAUGCCUAAAAUCUACCAGUGAGCGAAUGCAUUUGCUGUUACCUCUGGACCAAGAACACCGUUUCCCCAGCUCUGCCCAAGACAGCUCCUCAGCGCUCAGCCCAAAGGUUACCUCCUCCAAGAAGCCUUCCCUGACCUCCUUGUGGGAAGUCCUGGGCCCUCAAUCACUCGUUUCACUCCCUCUGCUUCAUGUCCUUUGCCAUUAUCAUAGUUAACAUUAUCUCACCUACUCAGCGUGAUUUCUGUCCCCAUUGCCACUUCCCCUUUUCAUCUCCACCAGGGCAAGGAUUUUUGUUUGUUUUGUUCACUACUGUUCCCCCAUCGCCUAGAACAGUGCCUUGCACACAGAGGUGCCCGAUAAAUGGAGGAGGCUGAGAAGAAGGUGAGGUCCUUCCCCGUUAACUGGACUAUGUGACCUCAGAUAAGAUGGAUGGAUCCCCUCUCUGAGCCUCAGCACACACACACCCCCCCCCAGGGUUCUGGGGAGAUGCACUGAGAUCUAGGGAGUCUGCAGCUAACUGAAGGAUUUGCUGUGUGUCCUCAGGCCCAUAUUUCACCCUCUCUGAACCACAUUUUAAGCUCUUUCCAUGAAUUAACUUAUUUAAUCCUCCCAAUAAUUGGUAGGAAGCAGGUCCUGUUAUAAUCUGCACUUUACAAAUGAGAAACCUGAGGCCCAGCAGAGCUAGCCAAGUGUGCCUGUUCAAGGUCACAUUCAAGGGGUAGGAAGGAUUAAAGGCUUUCCAGUCUGACUUUCCUCUUUAGGUUCCCCCCCUUCUUGGGACUGUAAUAAAUCAUAAUAGGUCUGACCAUGUUAGCCCCAUUCUGUGAAUGGAAAAGCUGAAACCCUGAGAAGGCAGUUGGGGUCACACAGUAAGUCAAGGGAUAACCCAGACCCUGGGAACCAGCCCCCAAGGACCAGACUCGAUCCCAUCAAGGUCUUGCCUUUCUGUCCUCACCCACCAAAUACCAAACCUUUUGCUUCCCACCCUGCCCUGGCCUGACGGUGAAAUUAGUGGCAGUUGCCACCCCAGUGCCACCCCAGGUGUCCUGCAGGGAGGCUGCGUGCAUGGGUGACGUAAGCCCUUGUUUUCACAAGGCUCAUUGCUCAACUGGCCUUGCCUGCUGCCCCACCGUUAAUGCUCAGCCUUCCCCCGAGGAGGGGGAUGAUGUGAGCUGAACCACUAUGGCCCAGAGGCCUGGCGCAUGCCCCAGUGGCCCUGCAGGCAGCAAGGGCCCAGAAACCAGGAUCCACCUGACACCACCUACAACGACCUCUCCCAGUUACCGUCUGGACUAGGUGUUUGUAGGAACCUGGGGAGGAGUCCAGGGAGGGUCUCAAACUGGCAGCCAACAGCCAAAUCCAGCCCAGACUUGUGUUCAGCUUGACCCCAUGGUGUUUUGCUUCAGAUUUUGUGUUUGUCUGGUGGGUUUUUUAAUGCAUUUAUUGCCAAUAUUUUUAAAUCAAGAUACUCCACAUCAAAAUUCAAAAUUCCAGCUUCUCUUUCAAAACCAGAAGCCGUGGGCUGGGCUCACAUGGCUACGAGUGGUGGGCAGGAGCCAGGCAAGGACUGUGGAGGAACAGGCACUUUCUAACCCAGAUAUGCGCCACCCUCUGCACCCAAACUGCUUUCAGAAUUCCUUCUCCCAGUCUCUGCAGCCUUUCCUUAGCCCCAUUCCCAGGAGGAAAAAACCAAGGCAAUUUGCCCAAAGGGAUUCCCAUUGUUGCUUCUUUGACAGAGUGGGGUAAAAGUGUUUGCAGGGGAGGCUUUGAAAUCAGCCAGCAGGUGGAAAAAUAAGGCUGAAGGGAGAACCAUCAGAGAUGGUCCGUGAAGACUGUCUCUAGUGGACUUGGAGUUAGGGGAUUGCAGGGUUAGACUUUUGUUUCUGCUCUGUACGCACCUGGCUGUGGCCCUUUGGUGAUCUCUUAAAUGAAGGUGAUAAUAUCCCUUCUUUCUUGGGCCUUUGGGCUUACUGUUCCCCACAAACACUGGCCUGCCUCAACACAUGGGAGUGAAUUACCUCUCCAGAGCCCCCAAAAGGGUCUGACCACCCAAGUCAUGAAAACCUCGCAAAGCAGGCAGUUGGGAAACAGGUCCAGAGGGGGUUAGGACUUAACCCCAGGAUCACAGUGAACUGGUAGAAGAGACAAAAAAUACCAGAUUCCAGGUGUUCCCAUUGUGCUCAGUGGAAGCAAACCUGACUGGUAUUCAUGAGGAUGCAGGUUCGAUCUCUGGCCUCGCUCAGUAGGUUAAGGAUCCCAGGUUGCUGUGAGCUGUGGUGUAGGUCACAGAUAAGGGCUCUGAUCCCAUGUGGCUGUGGUGUAGGCCAGCAGCUACAGCUCCAAUUUGACCCCUAGUCUGGGAAAUUCCAUAUGCCACAAGUGUGGCCCUAAAAAGCAAAAAAGAAAAAAACAGAUUCCCCUGAUUGACAUGUCCUAGAUUUUUCCCGCCAUGCCUCCUCUUUGAGGCCUCACUUUCCCCAUCUGCCAAAUGGUGCCUAGGUCAGAUCCCUGAGGCCUGUCAGGUCCAGUGUCCUAGGAUCCGGAAUUUCGGAGUCAGGGAGAGGCUGGGAGUGGUGGGGGCGAGGUGGUGGGGGGAUGGAGGGGUGCCUGGCUAGUGAAACUUGCUUGAGCAUAUGCUGCCACCAGGUGGCCAGCUCUGGGAAGGCAGGAGAGGUUUAAAUGAAGCUCUUUGAUUGAGGACCUACUAGAUAUUUUGCUUUUAGUAUACAGAGGUCAGCACUGUGGAUAUAAUUAGAUGCUCAAAGGGUAAGAGCAAGAUGCCACUGGAAGAAAGAAAAAUGCCCAAUAAACAGACAAAAGGUACUUUCGUUUAGCCAUUAAUCACGUAGUUUUUAGCACCUGCUGUGGUUCGUGCCCUAGAGACAUAUCUAUGAACAAAACAGAAGAAAUUCCUGCUCUUAAGAAGUUGAUAUUCCUUUUUGGGAAGACAAACAAUAAAC
rnacentral:lncRNA from 1 species